UUACUUGUUGGUUAUUACUGCAUUGUCGGAACUAGAAGCACAAGCAUUUCGCUACACUCGCAUUAACAUCUGCUAACCAUGUGUAUGUGACAAAUAAAAUUUGAUUUGAUUUGAUUUAUGACCAUUUGAACAUCGUGGCCAUGUUCUGUUAUAAUCUCCACCCGGCACAGCCAGAAGAGGACUGGCCACCCCACAUAGCCUGGUUCCUCUCUAGGUUUCUUCCUAGGUUUUGGCCUUUCUAGGGAGUUUUUCCUAGCCACCGUGCUUCUACACCUGCAUUGCUUGCUGUUUGGGGUUUUAGGCUGGGUUUCUGUACAGCACUUUGAGAUAUCAGCUGAUGUACGAAGGGCUAUAUAAAUAAAUUUGAUUUGAUUUGUUACAAAAAAUACUUCAUCACUCAAGAACUAAUUUUAAUUUUACUAGGCAAGUCAUUUAAGAACAAAUUCUUAUUUUCAAUGACAGCCUCCAAACAAUGGGUUAACUGCCUAGUUCAGGGGCAGAACAACAGAUUUAUACCUUGUCAGCUCUGGGAUUUGAUCUUGCAACUUUUUGAUUACUAAUCCAACACUCUAACCACAAGGCUACCCUGCCACUCUGUGUUCAGGUACUCAAGAACUAUGUGGACCAACAGGAGGUGACUGGAGUUGAAGGAGGGAGUGUCAUUGUAAAUUGUAAAUUGGAGAACACUGGCUGGUACAGGUGUGGAGUUGGAGACCUUAUAAUGCCUGUUCACAUCACUGUCAGACAACAAACCACCACACAAAGUACCACCACUAUGACCACUGCUGUGCCUGUUCAGACUGACAACACAGUCCAAGGACCUGAGGGGGGCAAGGAGAAGGACACCAUGAGGUAAUUAUCACUCAUUCAGCUGUAUUUAACACUUACUCUUCCAAAUGGAUGACAAUAGAAAUAUGCAGAAAGUUAACAUGUUCUGUUUUUGACACUAGCGUUUAGGUCACAAAAAGACCCUCCUUAUAUGUUUUCACACUGUGUAUAGGCCAACACUUACCACUUCCUCAUUUCUCUGUGGUUUGCUGAAGUAGCAGCAUUCUAUUAUUGGAUGUAAAAGGUGUGAAGGGCUGAACACGUGAUAUUGAUAUUUUUUUAACCUUUAUUUAACCAGGCAAGUCAGUUAAGAACAUAUUCUUAUUUUCAAUGACGGCCUGGGAACAGUGGGUUAACUGCUGUUCAGGGGCAGAACGACAGAUUUGUACCUUGUCAGCUCGGGGGUUUGAACUUGCAACCUUCCGGUUAUUAGUCCAACGCUCUAACCACUAGGCUACGCUGCCGCCCCAGUGGAGUGGGAGACCUUAUAAUGCCUGUUCACAUCACUGUCAGACAACAAACCACCACUAUGACCAGUGAGUAGAGAACAAUCAGAUACUGUAGAAUUAAGUAUUAACCUGGUUUAUCCAGUCUUGCUGGCUGAUCAUCUAAAACAAAUUGGAUUGUAACAUGAUUCAAAGCUUUGGGGAAUACU
rnacentral:lncRNA from 1 species